UACGUAGGGUGCGAGCGUUGUCCGGAAUUAUUGGGCGUAAAGAGCUUGUAGGCGGUUUGUCGCGUCUGCUGUGAAAAUCCGGGGCUCAACCCCGGACUUGCAGUGGGUACGGGCAGACUAGAGUGUGGUAGGGGAGACUGGAAUUCCUGGUGUAGCGGUGAAAUGCGCAGAUAUCAGGAGGAACACCGAUGGCGAAGGCAGGUCUCUGGGCCACUACUGACGCUGAGAAGCGAAAGCAUGGGGAGCGAACAGGAU
rnacentral:rRNA from 1 species